rnacentral:rRNA from 1 species
CUAACGAGUGGCCUUGUACCGCGAAGUGAUUGAUACCAUGCUUCCAAGAAAAGCCUCUAAGCUUCAGUUACUAGGAGACCGUACCGCAAACCGACACAGGUGGGCAGGAUGAAAAUUCUAAGGCGCUUGAGAGAACUCAGGAGAAGGAACUCGGCAAAUUUGCACCGUAACUUCGGGAAAAGGUGCGCCCUGAUAGGUUGUAGCCCCUCGCGGGUGAAGGCUGAAAGGGUUGCAGUGAAAUGGUGGCUGCGACUGUUUAAUAAAAACACAGCACUCUGCAAACACGAGAGUGGACGUAUAGGGUGUGACGCCUGCCCGGUGCCGGAAGGUUAAGUGAUGGGGUGCAAGCUCUUGAUCGAAGCCCCGGUAAACGGCGGCCGUAACAAUAACGGUCCUAAGGUAGCGAAAUUCCUUGUCGGGUAAGUUCCGACCUGCACGAAUGGCGUAACGAUGGCCACACUGUCUCCUCCUGAGACUCAGCGAAGUUGAAGUGGUUGUGAAGAUGCAAUCUCCCCGCGGUUAGACGGAAAGACCCCAUGAACCUUUACUGUAGCUUUGCAUUGGACUUUGAACCGACUUGUGUAGGAUAGGUGGGAGGCUGUGAAGCCGGGACGCUAGUUCUGGUGGAGCCAACCUUGAAAUACCACCCUGGUUUGUUUGAGGUUCUAACCACGGCCCGUGAAUCCGGGUCUGGGACCGUGCAUGGUAGGCAGUUUGACUGGGGCGGUCUCCUCCUAAAGUGUAACGGAGGAGUACGAAGGUACGCUAGGUACGGUCGGACAUCGUGCUAAUAGUGCAAUGGCAAAAGCGUGCUUGACUGCGAGACCCACACGUCGAGCAGGUACGAAAGUAGGUCAUAGUGAUCCGGUGGUUCUGUAUGGAAGGGCCAUCGCUCAACGGAUAAAAGGUACUCUGGGGAUAACAGGCUAAUACCGCCCAAGAGUUCAUAUCGACGGCGGUGUUUGGCACCUCGAUGUCGGCUCAUCACAUCCUGGGGCUGUAGUCGGUCCCAAGGGUAUGGCUGUUCGCCAUUUAAAGUGGUACGUGAGCUGGGUUUAAAACGUCGUGAGACAGUUUGGUCCCUAUCUGCCGUGGGCGCUGGAAAUUUGAAGGGGGCUGCUCCUAGUACGAGAGGACCGGAGUGGACGAACCUCUGGUGUACCGGUUAUGACGCCAGUCGUAUUGCCGGGUAGCUAAGUUCGGAAGAGAUAAACGCUGAAAGCAUCUAAGCGUGAAACUCGCCUUAAGAUGAGAUUUCCCUGGGGACUUGAUCCCCCUGAAGGGUCGUGGUAGACCACCACGUUGAUAGGCUGGGUGUGGAAGCGCAGCAAUGCGUUAAGCUAACCAGUACUAAUUGCCCGUGAGGCUUGAUCCG